rnacentral:rRNA from 1 species
AUUGAACGCUGGCGGCAGGCUUAACACAUGCAAGUCGAGCGGAGCGAGGGUGCUUGCACCUUAGCUUAGCGGCGGACGGGUGAGUAAUGCUUAGGAAUCUGCCUAUUAGUGGGGGACAACAUUCCGAAAGGAAUGCUAAUACCGCAUACGCCCUACGGGGGAAAGCAGGGGAUCUUCGGACCUUGCGCUAAUAGAUGAGCCUAAGUCGGAUUAGCUAGUUGGUGGGGUAAAGGCCUACCAAGGCGACGAUCUGUAGCGGGUCUGAGAGGAUGACCCGCCACACUGGGACUGAGACACGGCCCAGACUCCUACGGGAGGCAGCAGUGGGGAAUAUUGGACAAUGGGCGGAAGCCUGAUCCAGCCAUGCCGCGUGUGUGAAGAAGGCCUUUUGGUUGUAAAGCACUUUAAGCGAGGAGGAGGCUACUUAGAUUAAUACUCUGGGAUAGUGGACGUUACUCGCAGAAUAAGCACCGGCUAACUCUGUGCCAGCCGCCGCUGUAAUAC